UACGUAGGCAGCGAGCGUUGUUCGGAGUUACUGGGCGUAAAGGGUGUGUAGGCGGUUCUUUAAGUUUGGUGUGAAAUCUCCCGGCUCAACCGGGAGGGUGCGCCGAAUACUGAGGGACUUCGAGUGCGGGAGAGGAAGGUGGAAUUCCUGGUGUAGCGGUGAAAUGCGUAGAUAUCAGGAGGAACACCGGUGGUGUAGACGGCUUUCUGGACCGUAACUGACGCUGAGACACGAAAGCGUGGGUAGCAAACAGG
rnacentral:rRNA from 1 species